GACGUAGGGCGCAAGCGUUGUCCGGAUUUAUUGGGCGUAAAGAGCGUGUAGGCGGCCAGAUAGGUCCGUUGUGAAAACUGGAGGCUUAACCUCCAGCGGUCGAUGGAAACCAUUUGGCUAGAGUCCGGAAGAGGAGAGUGGAAUUCCUGGUGUAGCGGUGAAAUGCGCAGAUAUCAGGAAGAACACCCGUGGCGAAGGCGGCUCUCUGGGACGGUACUGACACUGAGACGCGAAAGCGUGGGGAGCGAACAGG
rnacentral:rRNA from 1 species